CCUACGGGAGGCUGCAGUAGGGAAUCUUCCACAAUGGACGAAAGUCUGAUGGAGCAACGCCGCGUGAGUGAAGAAGGUUUUCGGCUCGUAAAACUCUGUUGUUAGUGAAGAAAGUUAGAGGUAGUAACUAGCCUUUAUUUGACGGUACUUACUUAGAAAGUCACGGCUAACUACGUGCCAGCAGCCGCGGUAAUACGUAGGUGGCAAGCGUUUUCCGGAUUUAUUGGGCGUAAAGCGAGUGCAGGCGGUUCAAUAAGUCUGAUGUGAAAGCCGUCGGCUCAACCGUAGAAUUGCAUCAGAAACUGUUGAACUUGAGUGCAGAAGAGGAGAGUGGAAUUCCAUGUGUAGCGGUGGAAUGCGCAGAUAUAUGGAAGAACACCAGUGGCGAAGGCGGCUCUCUGGUCUGUAACUGACGCUGAGGUUCGAAAGCAUGGGUAGCGAACAGGAUUAGAUACCCGGGUAGUC
rnacentral:rRNA from 1 species